ACAACAGCACCGGGGAGCUCGCAGAAAGCGGGCUGAGAGGAAGCGUAGCAUCGCUUCGACCCGUACACCUGAUGUGGGUAAUGCCAACGAAGGGAGCAGUAUGGCGGACAAG
rnacentral:ncRNA from 2 species